AAUUAAGGUUAAAUGAGUCGGAGUGUGGAGCCCUAAUCUAAUAGGACUGGUGUCCUUAUAAGAAAACGAAGAGACAUCAGAGAGCCCUCUCUCCACACACAGAGAAAAAGUCACGUGAGCACACAGCGAGAAGAAGGCCGUUUGCAAGCAGGAAGAGAGCCUUUACCAGAACCCAAAUUUUCUAGCAGCUUGAUUGUGGACUUGCAGCUUCCAGAACUGUGAGAAAAUAAGUUUCUGUUGUCUAAACCAUCCAGACUGUGGUGUUUCGCUAUGGCAGGCCAAGUAGACUAACACACUGGGCUAACGUCAAGGUGUCCACAGGCCCGUGUUCCUUCUGGAGGCUCCAGGGGAGGGUCCAUUGCCUUGCCUUUUCCAGCUUCUACAGGCCGCCUGCAUUCCUUGGCUCUGGCCCCUUCCUCAAUUCAUUCUUCCUCAGUUGACUCUGGCAUCUGCUCCCAUUGUAACAUCUCCUUCUCUGACUCUAAUAAGGAUCCUUGAGAUUACCUGGGGCCCACAGAUAAUCCAGGAUAAUCCCCCCAUCUCAAGGUCCUUAAUUCUAGUUGCUUCCGCAAAAUCCUUUUUGCCAUUGUGUCACAGGUUCUGGGGACUGGGACGUGGACAUCUUUGGAGGGCCAUCAACACUGAGUUCAGCCAAAGAGGAGCCUGUGUGCUGGAGCCCACCCACCCCCCAGACCCAGAGACAGAAGGGAGGAGGGGACCAUACGGAGUUUGGUUCAGCUCCACUGGGCGGCCUCCUUGGCUCUGUCAGCCUUGCUGCUCUGCGAGGGUCUUGUCACUGAAUCAAGGAUGGUGGCAACUCAGCUGGUUUCCAGGACUUGCAAGGGAGAUAACACCCAACUUCAGCUUGGGACAAUUCUGCUUCUUCCACUUCCUAGAGAGGCGUUUCCUUCCUCCCUUCAUCCACUUCUUCUCUGAGAAGUCUCAGGUGGGAAACAGACUCUUCAACUAUGGAGGCUAUGUGUUCUGUACGGUGCAGCUAGAAGAUGGAGCUUCUGUCCACCUGGGUCCCCAAGUUAGUCUGUGGAGCAGAACUGCCUGCCAACCUGCUGGGACAUAGAGUGUGAGCAAGAAGUCAACUUUUGUUGUGUUCAGCCACUGAGCUCCAGGGGUUGUUUGUUACUGCAGCAUUACCUGGCAUACCCUGACUGAUUCGAGCUCCUGGCACACUCUGGUACACUCUCCCAUGCUGUUCACCAGGAGAGGUCAGCAUGCAAGAGGUAGAAAACAACACUUCCUCCCCCUCUGGCCAACAGCCUUCACCCAAAGGAGUCCUUGCGAGCUUAUAUUCAGGGGCCCCAGGGUUCCUUGUCUCGCUAAAGAUUUAAGGAACUUUUCUAAGGCUUGGGCCUGGGUCUGUGCCUUCCUUUAAAUGUCUCUACAGUACUUGGUUGAACACUAGCAUACAAAUGGUCCUCUCUCACAUCCCAAGACAUCGAACAGGGCAUGAUGCACUUUCACUGGUGAUCCCCCAUGAGGCUGAUGGGAUAGGCUCACUUCCUGCUUUAAAGGUGAGAACAGUGAAGCCCAGGAGGAUUAACGUCCUGCCAAGUUUGCACAGCUAACCACGUGAAGAACUUGAGCCCAGGUCUUAUGCAUCUUGCCACGAUACCAAUAUUUCUCAAAAUGUAGUUGACAGACUCUGAGAUGGAACCCGGGAAUCUGCAUUUUCAAAGCUCCUUGGGCAAUAAUUGUGCUUGCUAAGUUUGAGAACCCUCACACCAC
rnacentral:lncRNA from 1 species